rnacentral:rRNA from 1 species
UACAGAGGUCUCAAGCGUUGUUCGGAUUCAUUGGGCGUAAAGGGUGCGUAGGCGGCGCGGUAAGUCGGGUGUGAAAUCUCGGAGCUUAACUCCGAAACUGCAUUCGAUACUGCCGUGCUUGAGGACCGGAGAGGAGACUGGAAUUCCCGGUGUAGUGGUGAAAUGCGUAGAUAUCGGGAGGAACACCAGUGGCGAAGGCGACUACCUGGCCUGUUCUUGACGCUGAGGCGCGAAAGCUAGGGGAGCAAACAGG